rnacentral:rRNA from 1 species
AUGGCGCCACCGCCGCUAGCCACGGCGGCGGCGGCCGAGGACACCGCGGAGCUCCUGGAGGUGCGCUGCGUGGGGUGCAGUGAGACGUUGGAGGUGGAGCGGGGGCUGACGGAGUUCGUCUGCCCCGACUGCGCCACGCCGCAGUCGCUCCCCCCGGAGCUCAUGCCCCCGCCCCGCCGGAGGGCGCUGCCCCUGCCGCGCGGCGCCGCGGACGCGCGCGGGGCGAGGCUGCCGUGCGGCGCCUGCGGCGAGCUCCUCAGCGUGCCGGUCGGGCUAUCGCGCUGCGCCUGCCCUUUCUGCGGCGCCGAGCUGGCCGUCGACUCCGCCCGCCUCCGGAACUACAUCCUGGCCUCCGCCGCGGCGGCCGUCGCACCGCGCUCCUCGGCAUCCGUCCCUCCGAUUGUUGCUGCCCGGGAGAGAUGGCAAGAGUGUCCUAGUUACGCAAUGCACGCAGGGCUACACCAAGCAGAACCUGAUGCGAGGUUAAUUCCUCCACGGAGGACGCAGGUAGAGCGUCCCAGUCGUUUCAUUCACGUGCAUCGGGAUGAACAAGAGUAUCCUGAUCAUAUGAUUGAUGGAGAGGAGAUACAUGUGGCUAAUGAGACUGUUGCAAAUCAUAGCCGUCAGGGAAAUCGACCUUCACUUGGCCGUGGUAUUGUAGGUAAUGAGGAGAGACAAGUUUUUCCUCAAAAUGUAAAUGAGGUCAGAAAUCAUGUAAAUGAUCAGCGCCCUAGUUACCAUAUUCAGCCAAAGCGAGCGCAGCUGGCACGCCUGCGUAGAGUCAUUCAUUCAGAAGAGAUGGAGGAUGGGUCUCUCAGCCAUGAAAUUUAUAGAGAGGCGAGACAUACUGAAUUGAUAUACGAGGCUACUGCAACUCAUAGGAACCAGAGAGUUGGAUGCUCCACUGGCCCCCAAACUCCAAGUAUAGGGGAGAGGCAUAUGGGGACUCCUACUCAGAUCAUACAUCAGGCGCACAAACAGCCUUAUCAUGAAAGUCAUGCGGAAGGCAGUCAGAUAGACUGUCUAGAUGUGGAUGGGGUGGUUCAUCCGCCAGUCAACCAAGCAAAUCAUGGAGAAGAGGCAUCCACUGAGAUGAUCGAUAAAAUGCUUUCAAGGGAGAGCACUUGGCCUAUUGGAUGUUCAGUUGGACCCAACUCUGUUAAUGUAGAGAAGAGAAAGGUAUCAACCACAAAUCAUGUCAAGCAACAUAUGCAAAAAGAACAGUCUGAUGCAACUCCUUCAGAACACACACAGAAAGAGCAUCCGGAUCAGGCAAUUCAUGAGCCUACCAAUCAUCUAACUAAUGCAGAAGCAAUGUACUCUUUUCCUAUAAAGGAGACUACUGCAAGGUGUAGCAAGCAGAAAAAACCAGAGUUAGUUAAUGCCAAGACUAUUGCCGAGAAGAGACAUGUGGAAUCACUGAACCACAAUAUACAACAGGCAGAAGGGCAGACCUCUGAUACUGAUAGUCAUGAAAUCCAGGUCGAUUUUGAGCGUCAAAGUAAGGCUAAUGAGAGGCAUGGCAACACUUCAACUCUUAACGGGCGGGAACAUUUUACACCUCCGAAUAAGCUGGCUGAUCUAAAACAGAAAAAUGUAUGCACUAAUGAUGAAAUCCAGAAGGAGCAGACUGAAGGUAAUGUUUCCAAGCAGACUAGUGGUUGGACUCAGAAGAAGAAUAGAAAAGGCUCAAUAGCUUCAUCAAAUGAUGGGCUUCAGCUUAAACAUAGUAAACGUUUGGCCAAAGAUUCAUCUGCUGCUAUGGAAAAUAAACCUCUAGAAAGCGACGCUGGUGACCUGCAGAAUUUUGGUCGUAAUGUCCAAGUGCCAGAAGAUGCUAUGGAUGAUGAAUCAAUUGAAUGGGUGCCUCUUCAGCAGUGUCCCCCCUCUCCAGAUUGUGAAGUGUCAGUUGCCACGACAGACACUGAUUCUGUAGAAAGUGAUGACGAUGAGGACUAUGUUGUAUCUCCAAAUCAAAGCAUGUCUGAGUCUGACCAUCCAGAUAACGAUGAGGACUAUUGCCGAUCUGUACAUAAGGUGCCUCAGGAAAUCUCUGGUGAAUCAGAUGACCCUGAUGUAACCACGACUCCUUUAGUUCCUGAUAUGUCUGACCCCGAGCAUUUCGCGCGGAAUUAUUUACCUCUAGAGGUCAGAAGGGCCCUUGCAAAGGGAAAGAAAGUAGGAGGUCGUCUUUGUCUCAAAGUGUGGACCUUGCCCAAGGGUGUACGGAUACCGGUCUCCUUGAACACUUCGGGCCUGCCAGUCGGAGAAAAUGCAAUCAUGUUGAUUAACUUUCUAGGCGCACUGGCACGGGAUGCAGUGUUGGCACCUCUCACAUAUGUAAGUUGGAAAACAUUUCCAAAGGAGAACAAGGAUGUUAUGUGGCACAUUGUUAAGCUUAAAUUUGAUGUUGAUCCACCUCGCGAGUUGUCGGUCCUGAGCUCCAUAAGAAACAAGUGGAAGUUUUGGAAAUGUCACCUAAAACUGAAACACCACGAUCCUCAUAUAACUGAAGAGGAACGCCUUGCUGAUCGAGAUCCUCGUGUCCCAGAAGAACAAUGGCGAGUCCUUAUUGCAUAUUGGAAUACGGAAAAGGCAAAGGCCAGAAGUGCUGCAGGUAAAGCUUGUCGGGCGAAAUCAACCUAUAUCACUAAAACCGGAUCAAAGAGCUUUGCACGUAUAUUUGAGGAAGAGUCACGAUCUGGUGACCCUGCUCUUGAGAAUCCAGAAAGCCCAGAAGAUGAUUAUGCACCUGCCAUGGGUGCAAAAAGGAGGGCUAGUGCACGCACGUAUACACCUGCGCCCUCCCCCAAAGACCUACAGGAAAGGUCAGACCCGCAAGCUGCGAGGGCCAAACGAAAGGCUGGAGAUGAAGUCUCCACACCGAGAAAGAAGGUGGUAGUAACAGAGGAAAGUCGCCCCAAAAACUCUCAGGAAAAUGCAGUCUUGGAAGCUGCGAGGGCUAAAAGAAAAGCUGAAGAUGAGGCAGCCGCUCUAAGGAAGAAGGUGAUAGUGAUGGAGGAAAGUCAGAAAAAGCUGCAGGAGGACUUGGCAAGAGUGACAAACGCAAUGAGUGCUAUGCAGAAGAUGAUGUCAACUGGUGGCUUACCAAAUGGAAUAACGGAUGAACCAGUGAUGCUACCAAGUUUCCAACAGGAACGAAAUGAAGCGAACUCCGAUGAUGUUUUGGAGCCGCAUAUUGUUUACUCAGGGCCACGUCAUCCUUCCUCGCAUAAUCAACGGACUCGAUGA